rnacentral:rRNA from 1 species
CACGGGGGGGAGCAAGCGUUGCUCGGAAUUACUGGGCGUAAAGGGCGCGUAGGCGGGAUGGCAAGUCGGUCGUGAAAUCCCUCGGCUCAACCGAGGAACGUCGAUCGAUACUGCUGUUCUUGAGGAUUGCAGAGGAGACUGGAAUUCCCGGUGUAGCGGUGAAAUGUGUAGAGAUCGGGAGGAACACCGGUGGCGAAGGCGGGUCUCUGGGCAAUUCCUGACGCUGAGGCGCGAAAGCGUGGGGAGCAAACGGG